UGAAGUGAUAGAGGAGCAGUCUUCAUCAGUAGGUCGCGCGAGAAGCAUGAACUUUUAUGAACGCGUCUGAAAGGGGAGUCUGCCGAAGCGGGAACGGAUUCAUGUCCGUUCCGGGCUGGACCUGCAUUGAAUAGAUGCAGAGCUGUCACACUUGAAGGGGCGUUUGCCUUGACGAAGUAGUGUGGAGAACUAUCUCAGCA
rnacentral:ncRNA from 2 species